rnacentral:ncRNA from 1 species
AAUAGUUUACCGCCGGGUAACUUUGUCUUAGAUCCAUUCCGUUAGGCCUUGAAGGAAUGUGUCUAGGACUUUUUUAUUA